rnacentral:rRNA from 1 species
UACGUAGGGGGCGAGCGUUGUCCGGAUUUACUGGGCGUAAAGAGCGCGCAGGCGGUCGUGCAAGUCGCGUGUGAAAGCCCCCGGCUCAACUGGGGAGGGUCACGCGAUACUGCUCGACUCGAAGGCAGGAGAGGGAAGUGGAAUUCCCGGUGUAGUGGUGAAAUGCGUAGAUAUCGGGAGGAACACCAGUGGCGAAGGCGACUUCCUGGCCUGUUCUUGACGCUGAGGCGCGAAAGCUAGGGUAGCAAACGGG